GACGAACGCUGGCGGCGUGCUUAACACAUGCAAGUCGAACGGAAAGGCCCUGCUUUUGUGGGGUGCUCGAGUGGCGAACGGGUGAGUAACACGUGAGUAACCUGCCCUUGACUUUGGGAUAACUUCAGGAAACUGGGGCUAAUACCGGAUAGGAGCUCCUGCUGCAUGGUGGGGGUUGGAAAGUUUCGGCGGUUGGGGAUGGACUCGCGGCUUAUCAGCUUGUUGGUGGGGUAGUGGCUUACCAAGGCUUUGACGGGUAGCCGGCCUGAGAGGGUGACCGGCAACAUUGGGACUGAGAUACGGCCCAGACUCCUACGGGAGGAAGAAGUGGGGAAUAUUGAAAAAUGGGCGGAAGCCUGAUGCAGCAACGCGGCGUGCGGGAUGACGGCCUUCGGGUUGUAAACCGCUUUCGCCUGUGACGAAGCGUGAGUGACGGUAAUGGGUAAAGAAGCACCGGCUAACUACGUG
rnacentral:rRNA from 1 species